NCAUAUUUCUUCUCAUAACAAUAUUUAAUUCUAACCAGAACAAUAAUCCUAAAAACAAUAACCCUUGGGCUUGUAUAUCUGAUAAAGAUUGUCAAAAAGUACAUGGGGUGAAUAUUAGGUGUCGUAAAGGUUUUUGUACAGUGAUUUGAAACAUACCACUAAGAUGAAGUACCUCUUGUACUUGGAAACAAUAGUGCUUAUCUUGGAAUAAUUUACUUGCUGAAGUUUAGUCUUUGUUCUUGCACUGAAUAAUUGUUUUUUUCUUCCUAGUUCAUAGUUCUUCAAAUUAUUAUUUUGUACUACAAGAUGGUGAAAAUGAAAUGAUAUAAGUGUUUACAAGUGUUUUUGAUAAACUGUAAAUCUAGUUUUAAUUAUUAAAAGAAGGAUCAAACUAGAAAUCAAUCCUAGAAUAUGUUGUGCAAUCGUUUUCCAAAAAAUAAAUGAAUUUUCAUCGUAUUUAUAGGUUUCGUUAUGAACAAGACAAAUUUAUGUUUAAAAAAGAUAAUGAUUCUAUAAUUUUAAGGGUUUUUAAAAAGAUAAAACUAUUUACUCAAUAUUAUAAGAUCAUUUUUUUUGACAAGUAAUAUUAUAAGACCAUGGAAUUUAUACACUAUAAAGAGAUCAAGUCAUGUGCUAUUGUUUAGAUACAAAGAGAGAAAUAUAUGGAUAAAACUCUAAAGUUUACGAUAUUUUUAAAGUUUAUUUGAAGGACAAAGUCAUUAAAAGAUAAAUACAUAAUAUUUAUAUUUAUCUUUUUUAAAAACCCUUCAUAAAAUUAUAGAAUCAUUAUCAAAUGUCUCUUAAGUAUGUCAGUCUGUUAUGUAAGAUCCAGGUAUUUAUCUCAUUUUUAUGUUAAAUUAUUUUAUUAUAAUUUAACCUUAAGGUGUUUUAUUCUUGCGAGCGAUGAUAUUAUUUUAUAAGUUUUCAAAUUUUAUAGAUAAUACGUGCUUCUAAUUAUUUAAUUAAUACAAUAUUUAUUUUAUUUUUCACUCCAAAAAAAUUAAUUAAAAUUAUUUUAGUUUAAUUUAGCACCGCCUAUUUUAUUAUAUAUUUCUUUUUGCGAGGAUCUAUUUAUUAGAUUAUGAACGUAAUAAUAGACUCUAUAAUAAUAUCCAAACCACCAUGGAACAACUAGUAGAAAAAGUUAAAUAUCACUCUUUGUGGUGGCUAAAGGCUAAGAAGGCCAACUUUAUGUACGGUUCACAAAGACGGUGGUCGGACCCUUUAUUAUGUUUGGGUAUCAACCGACUAGCACAUUGACUCUUCAUUGUAUGGUUGACUAUUUCUAGGGAUGGCACUUUUAGUACAUCUUGUACUUAGGUGUUUCACUGCCGUUGUUAAUAUAUCCCAUUUUUAUGUCUUCAAAAAAAAGAUUAUGAGUAUCAGUAAUAAUAAAUUAAAUAAUUUUUGACCAAAAUACAGUCAUGGUUGGAAAUUUAUUUUGUGGAUACCUUAUAACCACUAUUGCCUAUUAAUUUGAUAAAAGAAUUGACUUGCAUUAGUUAAAGCAUCAUGUAAUUUUGAGUGGAUUUCUUCUAUUUUCAAUAUACAUAGGCUUAGAGUAACUCCCUAUUAGCACAGCGUUAGGUUUCUUGUGGUGCAAGCAAAACAAAACUAGGGUUUCAAUGGAGAAGAUGAAGUUGGUUAUGGUGGUUGAAGUUAGUUGAAGGGAGAGAGUAUUGAAUUGAAAAUUUUAUUCACACACAAAUGAUUGAGUUACAAGCAAAUAUAUAUACAAUGACUUAUAGAGUAAGUCUCUUGUAACUAACUAAAGUGAAGUUUAUCCAAACUAACAAACUAAACUCUUAAGUGUUUGUUAAUCAUUUGGAUAUAUAUAAUUUUGUUUUAGCUUCUUAAAAAAAAUCACUUGAUCUUACUAAUAAUUUAUUCACGUGUAACCUUUGCUUCUCUCUUAGCUUGAUCCAGUGGUAACCUGUCUUUUAUUUUACUUUUUUGUUAAAUAGCUUAAUGGAGAUCAAAUGGUCCACUGACUAGACUCUAGGCAUGGCAAUGAGGCAGGGUAGAAACGAGUUUCACCUUCUCCGUCCCCAUAUUCUACAAUUAUUUAUUUACCCGUUACGCUACCCAUAUUCAACGGGGAUGAGAAAUUGAAUCUCAUUCUUGUCCCCGAUAGAUUCAGGUCUCCCCGCCCCAUUUUCAUCCCAGAGUGGAUAUAUAUUUUUAAUAAAAAUAAAAGUAUUUUUCAGCCUUGAGUGCAAUGUUGUAAUGCAAUAUUGAAUAAAGAGAUGAUGACGAUCAAUGACUAUGUUGAUGGAGAAGAGAGAGGAGAGUGUGAGAUAUGAAAGGAGAAAAAGAGAAUUAUGAUAAGUGAUUGUCAUCUUAAAGAACGAGACUUUGUCACGUGAGUGAAAUGAUUUAAGAUUUGAGUUUCUAUUUAUAUAAAAUAGGUAAUAAAUUAAUUUUCUACAUUCAUGACAGGUUUGGGAGUUGCAAAAUUUUAUAAAUGUAGAUUAGCAAGAAUUGCAAGAAUAACAAAUGAUCAUUUGUUUAAACCAUUAAGCCGAUGGUCGCACAAUUCGGUUUGAUGGAAAUCACUUCGGCUAAGCUUUAUAGAUGGUUCAUUCUUGCUUUUCUUGCCAUGAGAUUUUGUAAUAUUUUUCAUUAUCCAUAAAAUUUAUAUAUUUGUUUUACAUCUUAACAAAUGCAUGACCCUUUUUUAUGAGAAAUGAAACUCUUUUUUUUCACCCAAUAAUUUAAGAUAUACUUAUAUUAUUUGUAUGAUUUAUAUGAUUUAUUUUGAUGAGUGAUAUUUUGUUAUGAUAUAUGUUGGUAUUUAUUAGUAUAAUAUAUAUGCUAUUUGAUUUAGAAAUAUAUAUAUAUUAUUUGAUUUAGAAAUAUAUAUAUGUUAUUUGGUUUAGAAAUAUAAAUGUCAUUUGAUUUAGAAAUAUAUAUGUUAUUUGGUUUAGAAAUAUAAAUGUUAUUUGAUUUAAAAAUAUAUGUUAUUUGAUUUCGAAAUAUAUAUGUUAUUUGAUUUAGAAAUAUAUAUAUAUAUGUGUUAUUUGGAUUAGAAAUAUAAAUGUUAUUUGUGAUAGAAAUACAUAUGAUUUGUUGCAGAAAUAAAUGUGAUUUGUUAUAGAAAUAAAUGUUAUUUGUUGUAGAAAUACACAUGAUUUGAUGUAGAAAUAUAUUUCUUAUUUGGUGUAGAAAUAUAUAUAUAUGUUAUAGAGAUAUAAUUGUUAUUUGUUACAUAAAUAUUUUAUAUAUAUAUAUUAGAAUAGAAUAUUGAGAUUUUGGUAGGCAAUCUAAUAUAUUUUUGUACUAGAUAAUAUAUUUUUGUACUUAAUAUAAUAUAUUUUGGUACUCAAUUGAUAUAUUUAAUUACUAGAUCUAAUAGGUGCAUUACUUGUUUCCAAAGUUUCUCACUUAUUAGUUGUAAAUUAUCUCUAUAAAUAGANNNNNNNNNNNNNNNNNNNNNNNNNNNNNNNNNNNNNNNNNNNNNNNNNNNNNNNNNNNNNNNNNNNNNNNNNNNNNNNNNNNNNNNNNNNNNNNNNNNNUUUUGAGGGAAGAGAGAGAAAAGUGUUUCUCAAUUGUUUAUAAUACUUUUUUUAUUUAUUUUAUUUUGACUAUUGUUGACCAAAAAAUUUAACACGUGAAUGAAUAAUGAAUGGGUACUUGUUACUCUUUUAAUACUUGUAUUUUUUUUUUUUUUUAGGGAUGGUAUUUUAUUUUAUUUUUUUUUGAAGGAGGGGAUGGUACUUGUUGUAUUGGAUGUAACACUUUUACUCAAUUGUUACUAUAUCAGCUAACAAUUUUUCAAGUGUUGCAAUCACGUUGUUGCUAAAAGUCAUUAUUGUAGUAGUGCGUGAAUCAAUGCUUCGUGUGCCUCCGUGGUUUUUAUCUCCUUUCACUUCUGCUGGAUGUUGCGUCAACCAACCUAGGAAUAAAAUCCCACAUCCCUUUAUAUUUCAGCAUGUUUCCACUUGUUAAUUUCUAUUCUUUUUUUUUUCUUUUCUUUUGUUGCACCUCCUUCUUUCCAACUUCAAACCAAUUCAAUCAAAAGUCUUUUUUUUUUUAUUUUUUAUUGGCCAUCGUAACAUUUAAGUUGCUAAUGUUUUCUUCUUUUUUAUCAUAGCUUAUGACCACACACAACCUAACUAAAUAAUAAUACUAAUAGUAAUAUUCACGGUUUGACUCAAUAAAUUAAAAGUGACCAUUUAUUUAAAAUCACUCUAAAUUAAAUACACUGACAAUGCAACCAUAAAGUACUUGAUCACCAAAUCCGAUUCCAAGCGGAGUCUCAUUCGAUGCUCUUGCUUCAAGAGUUUGAUUUGGAAAUCAAAGAAAAAAGGGUGACCGAAAACAUGGUGGCCAAUCAUCUUUCAAGCUUGGUGAAUGAUGAAGUAACAAUGAAUGAGAAAGAGGUGCUUGAAGAAUUCCCGGAUGAAAAGUUGCUAAUGGUGCAAGAAAGGUCAUGGUUUGCCUACAUGGCAAACUAUAAAGCAACGGGGUUCAUUCCGAAGAAUUUCACUUGGCAAUAAAAGAAGAAGUUUCUAUGUGAUUCCGCACAAUAUGUAUGGGAUGAUCCCUAUUUGUUAAAAAUUGGAGCAGAUGAUGGAUUAGUAUGGAGGUCUGCCAUAAAAGAUGACGGCAUACCAUAAGUUUGGUUUCUAUCGAAUAACCAUGUAUUCAGAAAUGAUUGACUUCCAAAACCAACUUAUGAUUGUGCAACAACAGCAACGGUUGAUGCCCAGCGGGUAUCGUCGAAGAAACGUGAGUGGGAACCAUUGCCCCCAACGUUUCUAUAUGACUUACGCCAGCGGUUGGCAUAACUGGUGGAUUUUGCGGUUGUGAAGUAACUUCCAAUGUUGCAUCUUCCAUCGAUGGAUCUGAUGGACUAGAUUGUUAAUCUUUGUUACGUGUAUUACGUACCAUUUAUGGGAGUUUCUUUUUGCUCCUUAAGAACAUGCACAACAAAAAUCAGAAGAUUUAAAGACAGAAAACGAACAAAUUAUUCAGAAAAACUGCUUUAUCUGAAUAUUUCUAACACAAAUAACACAAACAGUCCCACUGGGCGUGCCAAUUUGUUUAUCCUGGUUCUUAGUAAACAAACGUUGGUUUUCGUAAACGAUUAACUUGAGAGAUCAACCAGUAUCUCGGGGCAUAUUGUGAUUAUGUUUGAUAGAAAUUGCGAACGUUCUUGAUGUAAACCAAAAAGUGUAAGAAUCGGGAUCGAACACGCGUCUAAUCCUUGAAGCAGGUUGCUAAGAAAAAAGGAUGAAUUACAACGAAUUUAAGGGAAAAGCUAAAAUUGCAUAAAUGAAUUAAAAGUGGUACACAGAUUCAUACAUUGGCAACUUGUAUACUCGUUUCUCCUAUAGUGCGGAUAAUUUGAGCGUGUAAGUCUUGUGUGUAUGUGAAUUUAGUCGUUUUCCCUAUGGAUGUAACCGCUAAAAACUACCCUAGGUAUCAUUUCAAUUUCAAAUGAAUAUCUCUUCGACAAUAACUGCUUUUGGCUCGUCUAUCUAGUACCAACUUCUCUUUGAUGUUCUACUUGUUUGUCGAAGCCUCUCCAUCGAACGGCGAAAUCUCUUUAAGUUCACGAACCUGGUUCAGCUUCUGAGUCGAAAUCGAUCAGACUUCUCCACAACUUGAGUCAAACUUGAUUGACCCUAUUUAUUAUAGCCUGUCGAAAAUACAGGCUAAUAGCAGGACUAUAGACAAAAAAGUUAAAUGUCUUUAAAUAAAGUAUAGGUGUUUUGGAAGAUCAAAUGAGAGCAAUGGAAUUUAAAAAAAGGAAGCUAGUGUUGCAAGAAUGAAGACAGAGUCUGAAGACCAUCAGAAAUUGUCUACUAGAGUCUGAAGACAAGGAGUGUUUGAAGACUAUCAGAAGCUGACAUCAUCAGAAAGUCUAAAGAACCAUCAGAAGCUAAAGUUCAUCAAAGUCUGAAGACUAGAAGCUGAAGUUAGUUAAAUGUUGUUAUUCUGAAUACAUAUGAUUGCAGAAUGAAUGGAAGCCUGGAGCUAAUGAUGAAGCAAGAAAAAUCAUGUGGCAUUGUCAUAAUUCACCAUAUGGUGGACGCUUCAACGGAGAAAGAAUGGCUGCAAAAGUUAUUCGAUUCGGGUUAUAUAUGCCUACACUUUUCAAAGAUGAAUAGGCACAUUGUCAACAUUGUGAAAAUUGUCAAAAGACCGAUGGAAUCUCAAGAAAGAAUAGAAUGUUGUUGCAAACCAUUCUUGAAGUUGAAGUAUUUGAUUGUUGGGGGAUUGACUGUGUUGGUCCAUUUCCAUCUUCGUACUCAACUGAAUACAUCUUGGUUGCGCUUGACUACGUCUCUAAAUGAAUGCAUCACAAAGCUAGGGAUGGUAGAUAUCUACCAACCUCUAGCUUGUGGGGGGUACUAGAAGAAGAGGCUCGGAAGGAAGAUAACACGUAAAUAGCAUCUAGGGUUCUUAGUUUGCUUAGCGUGCAAGUUAUCUCAUUUUACAUGUAAUUUCAUUUGCAUUUUAGUUUCAUUUGGUUAGAUAGAAGUUAGUUAUACUUAGUUGUUAUAACCAACUUCUAUAUAUACCCUCAUUGUAAAAGAAUUUGGUUA
rnacentral:lncRNA from 1 species